GUUCACAGCCAUAUCACCCUGCAGCCUCACUGAAGCUAAGCAGGGCUGAGACUGGUCAGUACCUGGAUGGGAGACCACUUAAGAAAACAAGGUUGAUGUUGGAA
rfam:Danio rerio chromosome 17, GRCz11 reference primary assembly.